rfam:Triticum aestivum genome assembly, contig: Triticum_aestivum_CS42_TGACv1_scaffold_112071_2AS
UAAAUACUCCCUCCGUCCCAAGUUAGUUGUCUUAGAAUUUUUCUAGAUACAGAUAUCUAGACACAUUGUAGUGUUAUAGGUAGAUCCGUAUCUAACAAAUCUAAGACAACUAAUUUGGGACGGAGGUAAUAUGUA